UUGACACAUUGGUUCUCGUACGAUCGCCGAAGUUAAGCAACUUCGAGCUUGGUCAGUAUCUAGAUGAGUGAUCGCUUGAGAAUACCAGGUGCU